UUAUAGGAUUACAGCUGGACUACAACUGUGGAUACCGCUUUAUCGUGAGUACUAUGCUUAAGUGCUUUUCCCUUGUGCACCAUUUAGAAAUAUUACUUCUACUAGAACCUCAUCUCUUUGUUCCGCGUCAGGUUCGUGGCACCUGUAUGUGCAUGCCGUUUUACGAGUAACAUGUACGAGUAGCUAGUUAACGUUACCAGCAACUUGUUUCAUUCUCGUGUUUUUGUCUUUGUAUUUCUUCGUUCAUGCUUGUGUUUUAGAUCCUUCACACCACGGGUGUUCUCGAACUAGCGUAGAACUAAGAGCUUCGCCGGCUUUCGGGGGCAAUGAGUAGUACUCAUUGCCCCCGAAAGCCGGCGAAUCCCUUAGUUGAUAUGUCCAACUACUCCACAACAGAAAUGUUGAGAGAUUUGCGUGCUUUUUGGGGCCACGACUGCUCAAAUUAACUGCACACUCUAAUUUCAUGUUGCAAUUGAAUAAUAUUUACUUGUGUCUUUUCAACUUUCCAGAAACCUUAAGCUGCUUGGGCUCAAAGGAAAAUGUCGAUCCAUCGUGUGCUAUUAAGAGCAUCUCAUGUACUUUGUUGAAUGAUUCAAGAUGUCCACAAGUUCUUUGGAUCUGUCGUUGCUGGGAACAGCGAUCCUGCAAAGUGGCACUGGUUGCCUACCAGCUAGCCUCUGUCCGAGCAGGCCACUUCACCGUUACUUGAAGCUGCUUCCGGCUAAAAGAAGCUGAGCAAGCUCCGUGCGCAUAUGCCCACUGAUGUAACCUGGAGGUAAAUUAUCUUGCUGAUGUGUUAGAUUUACUUCUUUGUCCUAUUUCAGUGCUUCAAGAUACUGAAUGCUAAACUGCUCUGCUGUAAA